UACGUAGGGUGCAAGCGUUUGUCCGGAAUUAUUGGGCGUAAAGAGCUCGUAGGCGGUCUGUCGCGUCUGCUGUGAAAACUCGGGGCUUAACCCCGGGCCUGCAGUGGGUACGGGCAGACUAGAGUGCGGUAGGGGAGACUGGAAUUCCUGGUGUAGCGGUGAAAUGCGUAGAUAUCGGGAGGAACAUCAGUGGCGAAGGCGGCUACCUGGCCCAAUACUGACACUCAGGUGCGACAGCGUGGGGAGCAAACAGG
rnacentral:rRNA from 1 species